rnacentral:rRNA from 1 species
AGAGUUUGAUCAUGGCUCAGGAUAAACGCUGGCGGCGCACAUAAGACAUGCAAGUCGAACGGACUUAAUCGAAAUAUUUAUAUUUUGAAGCGGUUAGUGGCGGACUGGUGAGUAACGCGUAAGGAACCUGCCUGUUAGAGGGGAAUAACAGUGAGAAAUCACUGCUAAUACCGCAUAUGCCAUAGUUACCACAUGGUAAUAGUGGGAAAGGAGCAAUCCGCUGACAGAUGGCCUUGCGUCUGAUUAGAUAGUUGGUGGGGUAACGGCCUACCAAGUCGACGAUCAGUAGCCGGACUGAGAGGUUGAACGGCCACAUUGGGACUGAGAUACGGCCCAGACUCCUACGGGAGGCAGCAGUCGGGAAUAUUGCGCAAUGGAGGGAACUCUGACGCAGUGACGCCGCGUAUAGGAAGAAGGUUUUCGGAUUGUAAACUAUUGUCGUUAGGGAAGAGAAAGGACAGUACCUAAGGAGGAAGCUCCGG